GAUGAACGCUAUCUACAGGCUUAACACAUGCAAGUCGAGGGGCAGCAUGUUGGUUGCUUGCAACCAAUGAUGGCGACCGGCGCACGGGUGAGUAACGCGUAUCCAACCUACCGCUGACUAGGGAAUAACUCAUCGAAAGGUGGACUAAUGCCCUAUGGUCUUCACAGCAGACAUCUAAAGUGAAGUAAAGAUUUAUCGGUUAGCGAUGGGGAUGCGUCGUGAUUAUGCUUCGUUGGUCGGGGAUAACGGCCCCACCACAGGCAACGAUCAGUAGGGGUUCUGAGAGGAAGGUCCCCCACAUUGGAACUGAUACACGGUCCAAACUCCUACGGGAGGCAGCAGUGAGGAAUAUUGGUCAAUGGACGAAAGUCUGAACCAGCCAAGUAGCGUGUAGGAUGACUGCCCUAUGGGUUGUAAACUACUUUUAUGUGGGGAUAAAAUACUUUACGUGUAAAGUUUUGCAGGUACCACAUGAAUAAGGACCGGCUAAUUCCGUGCCAGCAGCCGCGGUAAUACGGAAGGUCCAGGCGUUAUCCGGAUUUAUUGGGUUUAAAGGGAGCGUAGGCCGCCUGGUAAGCGUGUUGUGAAAAAUACCGGCUCAACCGGUAUCCUGCAGCGCGAACUGUCGGGCUUGAGUGUGCGCAACGUUGGCGGAAUUCGUCGUGUAGCGGUGAAAUGCUUAGAUAUGACGAAGAACUCCGAUUGCGAAGGCAGCUGACGGGAGCACAACUGACGCUGAAGCUCGAAAGUGCGGGUAUCGAACAGGAUUAGAUACCCUGGUAGUCCGCACGGUAAACGAUGGAUGCCCGCUGUUUGUUCGAAUGAAUAAGCGGCCAAGCGAAAGCGUUAAGCAUCCCACCUGGGGAGUACGCCGGCAACGGUGAAACUCAAAGGAAUUGACGGGGGCCCGCACAAGCGGAGGAACAUGUGGUUUAAUUCGAUGAUACGCGAGGAACCUUACCCGGGCUUGAACUGCCGGCGAACGAUACAGAGAUGUUGAGGCCCUUCGGGGCGCCGGUGGAGGUGCUGCAUGGUUGUCGUCAGCUCGUGCCGUGGGGUGUCGGCUUAAGUGCCAUAACGAGCGCAACCCCUCUCUUUAGUUGCCAUCAGGUUAAGCUGGGCACUCUGAAGACACAGCCACCGUAAGGUGUGAGGAAGGUGGGGAUGACGUCAAAUCAGCACGGCCCUUACGUCCGGGGCUACACACGUGUUACAAUGGGGGGUACAGAAAGUCGGUGUGAUGUAAAUCAUAUCUAACCCUUAAAGCCCUCCUCAGUUUGGACUGGGGUCUGCAACCCGACCCCCAGAAGCUGGAUUCGCUAGUAAUCGCGCAUCAGCCAUGGCGCGGUGAAUACGUUCCCGGGCCU
rnacentral:rRNA from 1 species